AGCGAACGCUGGCUGCAGGCCAAACACAUGCAAGUCGAACGAACUCUUCGGAGUUAGUGGCGGACGGGUGAGUAACACGUGGGAACGUGCCUUUAGGUUCGGAAUAACUCAGGGAAACUUGUGCUAAUACCGAAUGUGCCCUUCGGGGGAAAGAUUUAUCGCCUUUAGAGCGGCCCGCGUCUGAUUAGCUAGUUGGGGAGGUAAAGGCUCACCAAGGCGACGAUCAGUAGCUGGUCUGAGAGGAUGACCAGACACAUUGGGACUGAGACACGGCCCAAACUCCUACGGGAGGCAGCAGUGGGGAAUCUUGCGCAAUGGGCGAAAGCCUGACGCAGCCAUGCCGCGUGAAUGAUGAAGGUCUUAGGAUUGUAAAAUUCUUUUACCAGGGAUGAUAAUGACAGUACCUGGAGAAUAAGCUCCGGCUAACUCCGUGCCAGCCGCCGCCGUAACAC
rnacentral:rRNA from 1 species